GAAAUACUCCCUCCGUCCGGAAUUACUUGUCACAAGAAUGGAUGUAUCCACAUGUAUUUUAGUUCUAGAUACAUUCAUUUCUAUACAUUUUUGCGACAAGUAAUUCAUAAUAGAGUGAGUAGAAC
rfam:Hordeum vulgare subsp. vulgare, WGS project CAJW01000000 data, contig: morex_contig_1559855